UUGACUCUUGGUGCUGUAAUUGGUGGUCCAUUAGGUGAGCCACAAAUCUUGGGAGGUGGUGGCAUAAUUGCCUUAUAAAUCAGUGCUAAUAUCACUAUACCAAAAAGGGCUAUCAUUUUUCUGAUCAUUCCUGCAAAAUGGUUUCAAGAUUAGCCACUAAAAGAAAACUCAGGAUUCAAGAAAACAAGAAAAUUACCCUAUAAAAAUGUGCUGAUAAAAUCUUGAGUUGGAGAAGCAGGUGCCUGCCUUCUAACUAAGUAGUUGGACAAUUCAAGAAAACAAAUAAAAUUUAUAAGGAUAUGAAGAGAAUGGUCACAAGACUCGCAACUCUUGCUGCAGAGUGCAGUGUUUUCA
rnacentral:lncRNA from 1 species